AAGAAUAACAGGUCACAUUGUGCUUUCUGUGUGAAGACUGUUGAUUGCCCUGGGAUAAAUGUCUCAAGACAUCUAUUUUUGCGUUCCCUUGUUUCAAUAUCACAUGCAGUGUGGCUGUAGCCAAGGCUGAAUUUUCACUUGGGAGGCUGGGCAUGUGCCCAAGAAUCCUGCACUGUAUGGAGGUCCCAGUCCACUAACAGGUUAUUAGCAGUGUUUACAUAUUCAUGUAUUUCUGGAGUAAUCAGCUUAAGAGAUACCUGUCUGUUCAGACCUUUACAGCAUAGCAUUCAUUUGGCAUUGAGACUUGGUGAAAAACCACUAGUGUUAUGCAGGUCUACAUGUGCAUUUCUGUGAUGCAGGUGGUCAGGCAUGAUAAUUUCAUCUCUUAACUCUCCUCCCAAAACCCUUGGUCAGACUAGGACUGGAUUCCAUGUCUGUCAGAGGUCUUAGUGUGUCUAGGUAGGAGCUUGUGGCUGAACAAGUAGUGUGUGAUUGGUGUUUGGGUGUGUUGAAAGUGUGGGUGCAUAUAGUCAUGUGUAGGUGUGCACUUGUUUUGUCUGUAAGAGUGAAUGAAUCUGUGUGUGUGUGUGUACAGUCAGGGCCAGCUCAAGAUAUUGUUAACUCGGGCAGUGAGCCGAGGGUGCUGAAUACUGCAAGUGCCAGGCAGUGCCCCGUCAUGUGUGAAAGAUUUGUAGUGUUCAUGUCAAAAUAUCAUAUUUUGUGUAUAUUCUAUAUAAAGUAACUAUACACACUGAUAAAGUGAUAAUAGAGGAUAGUCAUUGCUGAUGUGAUUAUAAUAACCUCAGUAAGUGAAUGUCAUGGGCCUUGAAGCACCCCAGCAGCUGCCAGGAGCUUGACCUGGUCUCCCCGGCCACAUCCUUCCUUUUGUUUCAUCUUAAUUUUCCUAGCCCAGAGCUCCAUCAAAGGUAGCCCUUUUUCUAGCAUGAACAAAUUAUGCAGUAAUUAGCAGUGCAUAAUAACUAUAUUUAAUAGAGUAUUUUCACCCAAGACUCUGUAACACCUAUCAUAAAAUUCUCUUUGUAAAAUAGUUGUUACAAAAUUCCACCCAAAACUAUGUAGGGAAUAUUUAUCAGGGAGUUGUUAUUUUUUGUAUGUAAGUAAAUGUACAGUUGAAGACAAACAUAUCAGACCACUACGCCAGACCACUGGUCAGCAACCUAUGGCUCUUUCAUCACGUGUGGCUCACUAAUUUUAUUAAUUAUUUUUACCUUCUUAAAAUGAGGGCAUCACACACCGUAACACUAUUCAGCGCAACUUUAGAUUGUUAUGUUUGACUAUGGAAAGCUCUUAAGGGAUGAAAGGGGUAAAUCCAUAUACAGUCGUCCCUCAAAUAGUACGGGGGUUAGGGACCCAGGAUCGAAAAUCUGUAUAAAAUUAGUGCCCCCCAUAAAAACACUCCUGGGCUGCAUUUGAGAGGGAAUUGGGACUCUCAGAAUGUCCCGAGUGAUUCAGACAUGUGACGCGGUAGCACGUGUUGCCAACUCGGCUCGUCUGCUGGUUCCCGGCUUUGAGAGGUGGAGCGCCUUCGUGCUGUGAUGACGUCAUCAGCAAAUAUGGCGGCCCAAACAAACACAUAUAAGUGUUUCCAUUGCAUUUCACCUCUCUGUGCCACAAUAAUCACUUCAGCUUCCCUUUCGUCUUCUGUUGUAAGGAGUUCAUCAGUCAGGACAGCUAGUAAUGCAUGUUAAACGUCGCCAGGAAGAUCAGCGUACGCCAUUUUGCUAUGAGUGAGACGCCAUUACAAUAACAACGACGAGGUUUAGUAAAAGGAUGGCCUUUAUCUCUUGGAGCACUGGCAGUUACUGCAGCAAGAAUUUCUUUUUCACUAUGAUUUUCAGGGUGUUGGCUCUUUGGAUAUAAGCCGUUUCAAAGGCUGUAGUUGGGACCGAAAAGGACAACUACCUCCCGAACUAAGACCAAUACCCAAGAUGAUAGAUACAGCGAACACUGCUCUCAUUCACGUGGUAUACUCUCCCUACGGCAAAGUAACUCAUCCCAAAACGUAACUUCUAAAUCUGAAUUCUUCUCCAAGGUAAACACCUAUCUCGAAUGCAUUGGGGUGCUUUCAGCAGGUGUUUUGGUAUAACAGUGUUGCCACUCAUGCCAGGGCUACUUGGUGCGACAAGCGGGAAAUUUAAAAAUCCUAAAAAAAAAACUUCCAUGACAAUCCGUAUAAAACCGAAACCCUAUUAUUGGAAACCGUACUAUUUGAGGGACGACUGUAUUUUGUUUCAAUGGUUAAUAGUAUUCUCUUCGUUACCAGACAGAUUUCCAUCUUUUGAGCCAUAUCCGCACUGUGGUUCUUUGAGAGUAUUAUUUUUUAUAUGAAACAAAAAAAAAAUGCUCCUCUAGCCUUAUGGGUUGCCAGCCCCUACUCUAGACUCAUCAUGGUUCUGUAGCCCCCAUUGUGUGCAGCAUCACAGGUGAGAGGGGGAAAGGAGUGAACUGACGGGGGAGGAGAGUUAGCAAUGAGUACCCUCCCCUCUCACCUUACCCCAUGUGGCGUGGCAUUAGGGCAGGCGCUACAGAUUUGCAAGUUUAGGUUGAGGAGGUUUGAUAUUUUUGUCCACAAUUGUGCAGAGUUGAAACUGAAUGUGAUACAAUGCCUAUAAUAAUGUAUUUAAUAACCUAACAAACUUUUUAUGCAAAUAUUUUUUAAUAUCAUCUUUGCUUAAAACAAAUCCUUGGCACAGACGGAUCUGUAAAUAAGCCAUGCAUCCUCUUUUAUAUUCGAGCCCUUAUGAACCCAUAAAAUGAAUUCUUGUUACUUCAAGUUAUACAUUGCCCCACAUGCAUUUACUGUAUCUAUUACUUGUUCAUCAUUAGUUUUUUUGCUUCUUUGUAAACGGUCUUGCUCAGUCAUUAUAGAGGGUUAGUAUAUACUGAAUGUCAGGAAAUGUGAUUCAGAAAUCAUGAAUAAAAACUACAUUGAUUACUAA